rnacentral:misc_RNA from 1 species
GAUGAAGAACGUAGCGAAAUGCGAUAAGUAAUGUGAAUUGCAGAAUUCAGUGAAUCAUCGAAUCUUUGAACGCACAUUGCGCCCGCCAGUAUUCUGGCGGGCAUGCCUGUUCGAGCGUCAUUUCAACCAUCAAGCCCUGCUUGCGUUGGGGUCCUGCGGCUGCCCGCAGGCCCUGAAAACCAGUGGCGGGCUCGCUAGUCACACCGAGCGCAGUAAUACAUCUCGCUUUGGGCGUGCGGCGGGUUCUUGCCGUUAAACACCCCCUUUUUACCAAGGUUGACCUCGGAUCAGGUAGGAAUACCCGCUGAACUUAAGCAUACAAUAAGCGGAGGA